rnacentral:rRNA from 1 species
CCUACGGGGGGCAGCAGUGAGGAAUAUUGGUCAAUGGACGAGAGUCUGAACCAGCCAAGUAGCGUGAAGGAUGACUGCCCUAUGGGUUGUAAACUUCUUUUAUAUGGGAAUAAAACGUUCCACGUGUGGGAUUUUGUAUGUACCAUAUGAAUAAGGAUCGGCUAACUCCGUGCCAGCAGCCGCGGUAAUACGGCGGAUCCGAGCGUUAUCCGGAUUUAUUGGGUUUAAAGGGAGCGUAGGUGGAUUGUUAAGUCAGUUGUGAAAGUUUGCGGCUCAACCGUAAAAUUGCAGUUGAAACUGGCAGUCUUGAGUACAGUAGAGGUGGGCGGAAUUCGUGGUGUAGCGGUGAAAUGCUUAGAUAUCACGAAGAACUCCGAUUGCGAAGGCAGUUCACUGGACUGCAACUGACACUGAGGCUCGAAAGUGUGGGUAUCAAACAGGAUUAGAUACCCCUGUAGUC